GUCCACGCCGUAAACGUUGGGCACUAGGUGUGGGGCUCUAUCGACGGGUUCCGUGCCGAAGCUAACGCAUUAAGUGCCCCGCCUGGGGAGUACGGCCGCAAGGCUAAAACUCAAAGGAAUUGACGGGGGCCCGCACAAGCGGCGGAGCAUGUGGCUUAAUUCGAUGCAACGCGAAGAACCUUACCAAGGCUUGACAUGCUGGUUAAAUCCGUAGAAAUACCGGUGAUCCUUCGGGAUCCAGCGCAGGGUGGUGCAUGGCUGUCGU
rnacentral:rRNA from 1 species